rnacentral:rRNA from 1 species
AACGAACGCUGGCGGCAUGCCUAACACAUGCAAGUCGAACGAACCCUUCGGGGUUAGUGGCGCACGGGUGCGUAACGCGUGGGGAUCUGCCCUUUGCUUCGGAAUAACAGUUAGAAAUGACUGCUAAUACCGGAUGAUGUCGAAAGACCAAAGAUUUAUCGGCAAAGGAUGAACCCGCGUAGGAUUAGCUAGUUGGUGGGGUAAAGGCCUACCAAGGCGACGAUCCUUAGCUGGUCUGAGAGGAUGAUCAGCCACACUGGGACUGAGACACGGCCCAGACUCCUACGGGAGGCAGCAGUGGGGAAUAUUGGACAAUGGGCGAAAGCCUGAUCCAGCAAUGCCGCGUGAGUGAUGAAGGCCUCGGUGUAAGCUCUUACUACGGGUAGUGAUAAUAGACAGUAACCU